rnacentral:lncRNA from 1 species
UGACUUUCUUUUUCCCCAGAUGCAACUCUGAAAGUGCCCUUUCAACCAUCAAUUGCUUCCUGUGCUAGCGGUUGAUGUGCUUUCCUUCCAGACGGCUACGAACUUGCUUAGCCCUCUUCUUAUUCCCAGAAUCCUUAGCCUCUUCCUAAAUAAGGCCCCUCCCUAGUCCUUAUUCUCUAUUCCUUAUAAAAUAAAAGAUUCAUUCUUUAGCCAGAUCAACAUCCUUCUUCCUAUUACCUAUCUCCAGAUCAAGAUCCUAACAUGAUUUAAGCCAUAACUCUACUAUGGAAGUACUUAGUUAUCCUACUUCCUAUUCACUAUAUACUUCCUUCGUCAGCCUUCCUCCAUAGCUACCUUUAAAGGGAAAGCUGGCUAGACCAAGCCUAGUAAUUAAUUAAAUAAGAAGGAAAAAGGCCACUCAUG